rnacentral:rRNA from 1 species
AAACACUUGAAGUCAGUCAUGCUCAUUAGAAAUCAGCGGGACCACAACGCGUCUGUGCACUUUCUGUUGGGCAGGUCAGCAUCAAUUUUGACUGCUGCAAAAAGGCUUAGGAAAUGUGAUGCCCUUCUGGGUGUGUUAUAGUCCUGAGUUGUAUACAGUGGUUGGGAUUGAGGAACUCAGUGUGACCUUUGUGUUUGGAGGAAGACCAUCCUCACAACACACACUUAGGAUGCUGGCAUAAUGGCUUUAAUUGA